rnacentral:rRNA from 1 species
CCUACGGGAGGCAGCAGUGAGGAAUAUUGGUCAAUGGGCGCGAGCCUGAACCAGCCAAGUAGCGUGAAGGAUGACUGCCCUACGGGUUGUAAACUUCUUUUAUAAAGGAAUAAAGUGCGGCACGUAUGCCUUUUUGUAUGUACUUUAUGAAUAAGGAUGGGCUAACUCCGUGCCAGCAGCCGCGGUAAUACGGAGGAUCCGAGCGUUAUUCGGAUGUAUUGGGGUUAAAGGGAGCGUAGAUGGGUUGUUAAGUCAGUUGUGAAAGUUUGCGGCUUAACCGUAAAAUUGCAAUUGAUACUGGCAGUCUUGAGUACAGUUGAGGUAGGUGGAAUUCGUGGUGUAGCGGUGAAAUGCUUAGAGAUCACGAAGAACUCUGAUUGCGAAGGCAGCUUACUAAACUGCAACUGACAUUGAUGCGCGAAAGUGUGGGUAGCAAACAGGAUUAGAUACCCUGGUAGUC